ACCGCCGUCGCAAGCUUAGCCCAUGAGGGACAAGAACCUAGCACAAUAACUCACUUCUGAGCUAGUACGUCAGGUCAAGGUGCAGCCAAUAAGUUGGUAGAGAUGGGCUACAUUUUCUACAUCAUAGAAAUUAGUCACGGAGAGGCCUGUGAA
rnacentral:rRNA from 1 species